AUUGAACGCUGGCGGCAUGCCUUACACAUGCAAGUCGAACGGUAACGGGCCUUCGGGUGCCGACGAGUGGCGAACGGGUGAGUAAUGUAUCGGAACGUACCUUUCAGUGGGGGAUAACGUAGCGAAAGUUACGCUAAUACCGCAUAUUCUGUGAGAAGGAAAGCAGGGGAUCGCAAGACCUUGCGCUGAUUGCGCGGCCGAUAUCAGAUUAGCUAGUUGGUGAGGUAAGGGCUCACCAAGGCGACGAUCUGUAGCGGGUCUGAGAGGAUGAUCCGCCACACUGGAACUGAGACACGGUCCAGACUCCUACGGGAGGCAGCAGUGGGGAAUUUUGGACAAUGGGGGCAACCCUGAUCCAGCCAUGCCGCGUGAGUGAAGAAGGCCUUCGGGUUGUAAAGCUCUUUCGGCCGGGAAGAAAUCGUAUCAGCUAAUACCUGAUGCGGAUGACGGUACCGGCAUAAGAAGCACCGGCUAACUACGUGCCAGCCGCCGCCGUAAUAC
rnacentral:rRNA from 1 species